rnacentral:lncRNA from 1 species
AAGUGUUCGAGAAUAUAGACCAUCUAUUUGACACCCAAGAUGGCUACUUCUACGCCGUGAUGGACUGCUUCUGUGAGAAAACAUGGAGCCACUCCCCUCAAUACUCCGUCGGCUACUGCCAGCAGUGCCCGGAAAAGAUAACAUGGCCUGCUGAGAUGGGCUCUCCUCCUCCCCUGUACUUCAAUGCUGGGAUGUUUGUAUUUGAGCCUAGUCGUUUGACUUAUGAGAGCCUUCUUGAGAGGCUGCAGAUCACCCCACCAACCCCCUUUGCCGAGCAAGUAAGUCAUACCUGCAUUUAACCACACACGUAUGAAAAUAAAGUAAAAAUGGAUUAAUCGAUUGACACUCGGGAGAAGCAGGAAACAAUUGUUAAUUUCUAAUGUUUUUCCGAUUUGCUUGGGGAUCAUAUGGC